rnacentral:rRNA from 1 species
CGGCAACAGCUCAAAUUUGAAAUCUGGCCCUCUCAGGGUCCGAGUUGUAAUCUAGAGAAGUGUUUUCCGUGCUGGACCAUAGAUAUGUUCCUUGGAAUAGGAUGUCAUAGAGGGUGAGAACCCCGUACAUGCUAUGGACGCCCAGUGCUUUGUGAUACACUUUCGAA